rnacentral:rRNA from 1 species
AACUCAAAUAAAUUGACGGGGACCCGCACAACCAGUGGAGCAUGUGGUUUAAUUAGAAGAUACGCGCAGAACCUUACCAACACUUCACAUGUUCGUCGCGAGACUAAGAGAUUAGUCUUUUCAGUUCGGCUGGACGAAACACAGUUGCUGCAUGGCUGUCGUCAGCUCGUGUCGUGAAAUGUUGGGUUAAGUCCCGCAACGAGCGCAACCCCUACUUUUAGUUGCCACCAUUUAGUUGGGCACUUUAAAAGAACUGCCAUUGAUAAGCUGGAGGAAGGUGGGGAUGACGUCAAGUCCUCAUGGCCCUUAUGUGAUGGGCUACACACGUGCGACAAUGGUACUUACAAUGAGAACCAAAGAUGCAAGUCCUAGCCAAUCUCUAAAAUGUACCUCAGUUCGGAUUGUACUUUGUAACUCGAGUGCAUGAAGCUGGAAUUGCUAGUAAUCGCGGAUCAGCGCGCCCUCGGUGAAUACGUUCCCGGGUUUUGUACACGCCGCCCGUCACACCAUGGAAGUUGGUUACACCUUAAGGCAGAGCUUAUACCUCUGAUCACGGUACGAUCAGCAAAUUGGGUGAA